rnacentral:rRNA from 1 species
GAAGAACGCUGGCGGCAUGCCUAAUACAUGCAAGUCGAACGCAGUUGCGAACGGGUGAUUAACGCGUAGGUAACUGCCUCAGAGCGGGGGAUAACGAAAGGAAACGAUAGCUAAUACCGGAUACUGUUAGAGGGACCUGCGUUGGAUUAGCUAGUUGGUGAGGUAAAGGCUCACCAAGGCGACGAUACAUAGCCUGCCUGAGAGGGUGAUCGGGCAAACUGGGACUUAGACACGGCCCAGACCCCUACGGGAGGCAGCAGGAGGGAAGCUUCGGCAAUGGACGGAAGUCUGACCGAGCAAAGCCGAGGGAGUGAAGAAGGGUUUUGGAUCGUAAAGCUAUGUUUGUAGAGAAGCGGUAACUAACCAGAAAGCGACGGCUAACUACGUGCCAGCCGCCGCGGUAAUUC